UACGUAGGGGGCAAGCGUUGUCCGGAAUCAUUGGGCGUAAGCGCGCGUAGGCGGCUUUGUAAGUUAGAGGUGAAGGCCCGGGGCUCAACCCCGGAAUUGCCUUUAAGACUGCAUCGCUUGAAUCCGGGAGAGGUGAGUGGAAUUCCGAGUGUAGAGGUGAAAUUCGUAGAUAUUCGGAAGAACACCAGUGGCGAAGGCGGCUCACUGGACCGGCAUUGACGCUGAGGUGCGAAAGCGUGGGGAGCAAACAGG
rnacentral:rRNA from 1 species